GUCCUACGGGGGGCAGCAGUGGGGAAUCUUCCGCAAUGGACGAAAGUCUGACGGAGCAACGCCGCGUGAGUGAAGAAGGUUUUCGGAUCGUAAAGCUCUGUUGUUUGAGACGAAUGUGCAGACUUUGAAUAAGGGUUUGUAAUGACGGUAUUAAACGAGAAAGCCACGGCUAACUACGUGCCAGCAGCCGCGGUAAUACGUAGGUGGCAAGCGUUGUCCGGAAUUAUUGGGCGUAAAGGGAGCGAAGGUGGGAAUGUAAGUCAGUCUUAAAAGUGCGGGGCUCAACCCCGUGAGGGGAUUGAAACUACAUUUCUUGAGUGCAGGAGAGGAAAGUGGAAUUCCUAGUGUAGCGGUGAAAUGCGUAGAGAUUAGGAGGAACACCAGUGGCGAAGGCGACUUUCUGGACUGUAACUGACACUGAGGCUCGAAAGCCAGGGGAGCGAACGGGAUUAGAUACCCGGGUAGUCCU
rnacentral:rRNA from 1 species